CUGUGUGUGUAUUCAUUAAUUAACCAUAAAUGGAAAAAAUAGUAUAUAAACUCUAAUUAUACUUGAAUGUUUUUGUUUUAUUCCAAUUUUCAUAAAUCUGGGUUUAGUUGUCUUUUAUUAGAACUUUUGGUUUCUGAUGCUUUAUCAUGUCAGAAUUAAUUUGGCCUUUCACUUUUUCCAACUGAUUUCGUUUUUGAGGAAACCCUGCUUUUAUUAGCAAUGUUCUCGUUAAGGUACGUACACACGCCCGUGUGUUCGAUGGACGCUUCCUAAAAACACUGACUGAGUCUUGUUAUCAUCAUAACUU
rnacentral:lncRNA from 1 species